CUUGGAUUUGGGCCAAUUUGGACAAACAGAGUUGGGAUAGUAAACAUUCCAAGAAGAGAACAGGAUAAACAGAACUGCAGUAAGGCCCCAAGAAGAUUGGUUGGUGCCCACCCAUAUGGAGGGCAGAUCUUCCACCCUCAGUUCACUAAGAUUCACAUGCAAAUCACCUCUGGAAUCAUCCUCACAGACAUACUAAAAAAUAAUGUUUUACCAGAUUUCCAGCCUAUUCACCAUGAAGAUGAUGAAGAUGAAAAUAUUUAUGAUGGCUCUACUUCCACUUAGUGAAUGAUUUAGAUCAAAUUCUGCCUUUGAAAACUUCACCUUUUUAUCUACAUGAAAGAUGGGGACAGAUGUUUCCAAUGCUUA